rnacentral:rRNA from 1 species
UACGUAGGGACCAAGCGUUUGUUCGGAUUUACUGGGCGUAAAGGGCGCGUAGGCGGCAUGACAAGUCACUUGUGAAAUCUCUGGGCUUAACCCAGAACGGCCAAGUGAUACUGUCGAGCUAGAGUGCGGAAGGGGCAAUCGGAAUUCUCGGUGUAGCGGUGAAAUGCGUAGAUAUCGAGAGGAACACCUGCGGCGAAGGCGGGUUGCUGGGCUGACACUGACGGCUGAGGCGCGAAAGCCAGGGGAGCGAACGGG